UACGGAGGAUGGCAAGCGUUAUCCGGAAUGAUUGGGCGUAAAGCGUCCGUAGGUGGUCAUGCAAGUCUAUUGUCAAAGCACAAGGCUUGACCUUGUAAAGGCAGUGGAAACUGCAUUGAACUCGAGUGAGUAGGGUGAGAGGGAAUUCCCGUGUAGCGGUGAAAUGCGCAGAUAUCAGGAGAACACCGAUGGCGAAGGAGGUCUCUGGGCCGAUACUGACGUGAGGAGCGAAAGCGUGGGGAGCGAACAGG
rnacentral:rRNA from 1 species